rnacentral:rRNA from 1 species
UACGGGGGGGGCAAGCGUUGUUCGGAAUUACUGGGCGUAAAGGGUUCGUAGGUGGCUCGCUAAGUCAGACGUGAAAUCCCUCAGCUUAACUGGGGAACUGCGUCUGAGACUGGCGAGCUUGAGUGCAGGAGAGGAACGCGGAAUUCCAGGUGUAGCGGUGAAAUGCGUAGAUAUCAGGAGGAACACCGGUGGCGAAGGCGGGUCUCUGGGCAACAACUGACGCUGAGGAGCGAAAGCGUGGGGAGCGAACAGG